GCAUAUCAAUAAGCGGAGGAAAAGAAACCAACAGGGAUUGCCUCAGUAACGGCGAGUGAAGCGGCAACAGCUCAAAUUUGAAAUCUGGCCCUAGGCCCGAGUUGUAAUUUGCAGAGGAUGCUUUUGGUGCGGUGCCUUCCAAGUUCCCUAGAACGGGACGCCAGAGAGGGUGAGAGCCCCGUACAGUUGGACACCAAGCCUUUGUAAAGCUCCUUCGACGAGUCGAGUAGUUUGGGAAUGCUGCUCAAAAUGGGAGGUAUAUUUCUUCUAAAGCUAAAUACCGGCCAGAGACCGAUAGCGCACAAGUAGAGUGAUCGAAAGAUGAAAAGCACUUUGAAAAGAGGGUUAAACAGCACGUGAAAUUGUUAAAAGGGAAGCGCUUGUGACCAGACUUGCGUCCGGUGAAUCACCCAGCUCUCGCGGCUGGGGCACUUCGCCGGCUCAGGCCAGCAUCAGCUCGCUGUCGGGGACAAAAGCUUCGGGAACGUAGCUCUCUUCGGGGAGUGUUAUAGCCUGUUGCACAAUACCCUUCGGCGGGCUGAGGUACGCGCUCCGCAAGGAUGCUGGCAUAAUGGUCAUCAGCGACCCGUCUUGAAACACGGACCAAGGAGUCAACCUUAUGUGCGAGUGUUCGGGUGUCAAACCCCUACGCGUAAUGAAAGUGAACGCAGGUGAGAGCUUCGGCGCAUCAUCGACCGAUCCUGAUGUUCUCGGAUGGAUUUGAGUAAGAGCAUAUAGGGUUGGACCCGAAAGAAGGUGAACUAUGCGUGUAUAGGGUGAAGCCAGAGGAAACUCUGGUGGAGGCUCGCAGCGGUUCUGACGUGCAAAUCGAUCGUCAAAUAUGCGCAUGGGGGCGAAAGACUAAUCGAACCUUCUAGUAGCUGGUUUCCGCGA
rnacentral:rRNA from 2 species